rnacentral:rRNA from 1 species
UACGUAGGGUGCAAGCGUUGUCCGGAAUUAUUGGGCGUAAAGAGCUCGUAGGUGGCGGGUCACGUCGGGUGUGAAAGCCCGGGGCUUAACCCCGGGUCUGCAUUCGAUACGGGUCUGCUGGGGUCCGGCAGGGGAGACUGGAAUUCCUGGUGUAGCGGUGAAAUGCGCAGAUAUCAGGAGGAACACCGGUGGCGAAGGCGGGUCUCUGGGCAGUAACUGACGCUGAGGAGCGAAAGCGUGGGGAGCGAACAGG